UACUCCUACGGGAGGCAGCAGUGAGGAAUAUUGGUCAAUGGACGUAAGUCUGAACCAGCCAAGUAGCGUGCAGGAUGACGGCCCUAUGGGUUGUAAACUGCUUUUAUGCGGGGAUAAAGUGAGGGACGCGUCCCUUUUUGCAGGUACCGCAUGAAUAAGGACCGGCUAAUUCCGUGCCAGCAGCCGCGGUAAU
rnacentral:rRNA from 1 species